AGUUCAGGGAGGUAGUGACAAUAAAUACCUUACAGAGGUCUCGUUAACCGAGAUCUCUCAAACGGAAUGAGUACAACGUGAAUCCUUUAACGAGGAUCGACUGGAGGGCAAGCCUGGUGCCAGCAGCCGCGGUAAUUCCAGCUCCAGUAGCGUAUAUUAAAGCUGUUGCGGUUAAAAAGCUCGUAGUUGGAUAUCAGUGCGUGUUCGGUCCGGUAUGCCUGGCGGUGUCGCUCGCGCGUCGCUGCUGGGCUCCCAAAUAUCGGCUGACCGCAUUCAAUCGUGCCGGAUCCGUCGGCGGGCCGUUCUUCGGAGGGGCCUGUUGGCGGCCGGCGACGUUACCUUGAACAAAUUAGAGUGCUCAAAGCAGGCUCUUAAUGCCUGUAUACAUAUUCAUGGAAUUGGAGAAUACGUCCCUGGCUCGAUUUGGUUGGUUUUGAGAGUCGAAGGGAAAUGAUUAAUAGGGACUGACGGAGGCAUUCGUAUUGCGACGCGAGGGGUGAAAUCCUGUGACCGUCGCACGACGAACUACUGCGAAAGCAUUUGCCGAGAAUGUUUUCAUUAGUCAAGAACGAAAGUUAGAGGUUCGAAGGCGAUCAGAUACCGCCCUAGUUCUAACCGUAAACGAUGUCGACCAGCAAUCCGCAACGGUCACUACACGGACUGUGCGGGCAGCUUCCCCGGGGAAACCAGAGUUUUUGGACUCCGGGGGAAGUAUGGUUGCAAAGCUGAAACUUAAAGGAAUUGACGGAAGGGCACCACCAGGAGUGGAGCUUGCGGCUUAAUUUGACUCAACACGGGACAACUCACCAGGCCCGGACACCGUAAGGAUUGACAGACUGAUAGCUCUCUCUUGAUUCAGUGGGUGGUGGUGCAUGGCCGUUCUUAGUUGGUGGAGUGAUUUGUCUGGUUUAUUCCGAUAACGAACGAGACUCUGGCCUAUUAAACUUGACACUGUCAGUCUCUUGUGACUGCGGUGCGCUUCU
rnacentral:rRNA from 1 species